rnacentral:lncRNA from 1 species
AGGAACACUUCCUUGCCCAUCAUCCUAACAUCAUUCAUUUUCAUCUCUUUUUGUCCUCUUCAGCAUAAAUUUGCUCCCAGAAGGAAACUGAGGAAAAUAUACAUGCAUUUAUGGUUUUACAUACAUAUAAAUUGAGGUGUCUUUUCAGCAGAGAACAUUACAGAAGUAGACCUCUUUGUUGGGACAUGGUAAGCACAUUCUUUAUCAUGGAAUUGUGUAAUGUUUUCACAGUGGCAUAAACCAUCAUGCAAUUUCCUCAUUUCUACAGAUUAUGAUUUGCCUUCAUUCAUAUUUCUAGAUAUGUAUGGUGUCAUGUAGUCAUGUAUGUAGUUAUACUCUACUUGAUGGAAAUUUCAGAAAUGUUAAAAUUCCUUAAUAAAAUGUCAGUCCUAGUCA